AUGCGGCUGCUCUCCGGCGCCUCGGCCUCCCGCCUCCCCUUUUUGGCGCGGGCAAGGCCUAGAUGUGUGUCGCGCUAUUCCUCCGCCUCCGCUUGCCGGGCCGCCUCCUCGUCAGCUGCGCCCGUCGGUGACGGCGGCGCGCGGAAGCCGUGGUUGUUCGUUGGGCUCGGGAACCCCGGGAAGAUGUACCAGAGGACUCGCCACAACGUUGGAUUCGAGAUGAUUGAUGCUAUAGCAGAAGCAGAGGGUGUAUCACUCAGCAGUAUGCAGUUCAAGGCAAUGGUUGGCAAAGGUCGUAUUGGAGAUGUUCCUAUCAUGCUUGCCAAGCCGCAAACAUUUAUGAAUGCAAGCGGUGAGUCUGUUGGGCAGCUGGUUUCAUAUUUCAAGAUACCACUUAAUCAAGUUGUUGUGAUGUACGAUGAUCUGGAUUUACCCUUCGCGAAAUUGCGUCUACUGCCAAAAGGUGGACAUGGCGGGCAUAAUGGGAUGAGAAGCAUUAUCAACCAUCUCAAGCAGAGUCGUGAUUUUCCACGUCUAAGAAUUGGCAUUGGACGACCACCUGGGAAGAUGGAUCCUGCCAACUUUGUUCUCAGGCCGUUCACCAAAAAAGAACAAGAAGAGCUUGAUUUCACAUUCCAUAGGAGCUUGGAAGCAAUAAGAAUAAUGACACUUGAAGGAUUCAACAAGAGCGCUACUUUCGUGAACACUGCCCAAUCAUCUGAAAUGCUGAAUAGAUGA
rnacentral:rRNA from 1 species